rnacentral:rRNA from 1 species
CCUACGGGUGGCAGCAGUGGGGAAUAUUGGGCAAUGGACGCAAGUCUGACCCAGCAACGCCGCGUGAAGGAAGAAGGCCUUCGGGUUGUAAAGAUCUUUAAUCAGGGACGAAACAAAUGACGGUACCUGAAGAAUAAGCUCCGGCUAACUACGUGCCAGCAGCCGCGGUAAUACGUAGGGAGCAAGCGUUAUCCGGAUUUACUGGGUGUAAAGGGAGCGUAGACGGUGUGGCAAGUCUGAUGUGAAAGGCAUGGGCUCAACCUGUGGACUGCAUUGGAAACUGUCAUACUUGAGUGCCGGAGGGGUAAGCGGAAUUCCUAGUGUAGCGGUGAAAUGCGUAGAUAUCACGAAGAACUCCGAUUGCGAAGGCAGCUCACUGGAGCGCAACUGACGCUGAAGCUCGAAAGUGCGGGUAUCGAACAGG